UAUAUAGAUAACGUGCCUCUUAGUCUGGGAUAGCCAUUGGAAACGAUGAUUAAUACUGGAUACUCCUUCUAACUCUAAUGUUAGUCGGGAAAGUUUUUCGCUAAGAGAUCGGUCUAUAUCCCAUCAGUUAGUUGGUAAGGUAACGGCUUACCAAGGCAAUGACGGGUAGCGGGUUUGAGAGGAUGAUCCGCCACACUGGUACUGAGACACGGACCAGACUCCUACGGGAGGCAGCAGUGAGGAAUAUUGCACAAUGGGGGAAACCCUGAUGCAGCAACGCCGCGUGGAGGAUGACGCAUUUCGGUGUGUAAACUCCUUUUAUAUGUCAAGAAAAUGACGGUAGCAUAUGAAUAAGCACCGGCUAACUCCGUGCCAGCCGCGCGG
rnacentral:rRNA from 1 species